rnacentral:lncRNA from 1 species
UAGCACCGACAUGAUUUUAACGAUUCGAAAACUGAAAGCAAACAUUAAAAGUUAUAUUAAGCUAGUGUUCGGCCAGAACUGACAAGAUUUAGAUCGCAACAAAGGGCUUCCGCACCUUUUUCAGACCCAUGUUCUUUGAAACCUAAUGGACCAAAUGGGAUCCCUUACUGGCUAUUCACAGAAAGUGAGAAACCUUUCAGCACAAUUUUCGGAUUUCUUAAAUUCCUAAAAUCUUUGAAAUAGCAUCGAUUUUUCUUCUUUCUUUUUUUAACUUUUCAAUCGAUCAUACUGAUUAUUUUUCUUAUUUGCAUUUUCUUAUUAAUUUCUUGUUUUCAAUCAAUUUUUCGUAAAUUACUUUUUCUAUCCAUUGUACUUCUCUCUUUUUAUUCAAUACUUAACUAUGUGCAUAUUCUAAAAAAUAACAGUGUAUUAAAAAAAUUAAAUCUAUACACAUCAAUUUAUUCAGUUGCAUUUAUAUGUUGUAUUAAACUUACGAUCCAUUCGAUCGUUGUAUUAAACUUACGAUUAUGCAUUCAGUUAAAUUUUUACAAUUUUUCAACUCUUGAAAUAUCCCGGAUCAUGAUCAAUGAUUAUUAAUCGUUCUGACGAAAGCUACGUACGGUGUGCCGCUAACGGGGCCCCGAUUCGUUUUCUCACGCGAUAUUUCUACGUCCAGAUACCGUUGCGUAUGCAAAUCCGCGGGCGUUAUUUCGCAGAUGCGAGAGGCAGAUUAUAAACAUCCGAUGAAUAAAAAACGCGGAGCUCCGCCAGACAAUGGACCACUCCGGGUGUCUGUUGACAAUGGCGCGGUCAUCCCUGCGAUAUUUCCCCCCUAUACCCGUCGUACAACCACCCUAUACUGUAUAUAUGUCCUGUUGCAUUCCCCCCUGUCAUGAUACUCCCCAGGAUGAAGUCACGGGACACAGAUUAACCGAAAACUUAGGUAAACUCUGUCUGCGAACUUUAGAUUUAUUCGUGUUUUGCUUGAAACCUCCCAAAAUUUUUGUACUUAAAACGAGAUAAAUAUUCAUUCGGACGGAGAAAGAAAAAACAAAAAUGUACAAAGAAUGUAAACAACACGAACAGGUUGCAAUUUUUGCUGUUGAGGCAUGUAACUUGAAUUAUUUGUAUGCGUAUUAAAAUUUUCUUUUCAUCGGAACAACAUAGUAUUUAAAAAUUAAAACAUAAUAAAAUAUAAAUAAGGAUGAAUUAAAUCAAUCUGAAAAUACUAAAAUGCCUAUGCGAGCUGCCACUGUUGUUGGUGCAUAAAAAAGGAAGGUUUCAUUAUCAGCAACUAGCCCAUUUUGUUAAUUAAUCGGAUAUUAUUUACAAGGAACGGUUUUGCUCAAGUAUCUAAAAUCAUAAAUUCGAUUUCGUGAAUAACGGAAAGUACGCGAACGUAUGUAAAGUAGGUUGUUCGUUCGGAAAUAAACGUGCGAUUAAACAACGGGAGGAAAAAACAUAUUGAAAGAGUGUCAUCAAGACUUAAAGAGGACAACAUAGCUAAAGCUUUGUCUCCUUUCAAUAAAUCUAUACGAAGGCCGAUUUGUGUUAUCCCUUUGGCUAAUAUUAAGUAUUUAUUUCCGAGCGGACAACCUACUUUGCGCACGUUCCGUUGUCCAUCGAGUCAUUCAGUUUCCCGCUACGCUUUCCCGCACGGCGGUCGCGUGUAUAAAUCACCAUCAGCAGCAUUGUGUGCAACUCGUCGAGUAAUGCACCGGUAAUAUCGGGAGCUCGCAGUGUCGCAAGUGAACUCAUUGUAAGACAUGGUUGCACCGACACCUCAGCGACUGAAUACCGUCGCGUCGCGGGAUGACGUGACAUUUCGGCGCGCUCGAGUUUCGCUGAAUGGAAAUCUCGGCGGCGCGAACGGGACUUUGCUAUUUGAUAAAUAAGCCUACGCCGCGCGUCGCGGCGGAUUAAUGAGCAGACACUCCACGCGUAGUCGAAUGAGCACGGGACGGAUUAAUGCGUCUGGCUGUGCCGCGUCGGAUUCAAGAGGAAGUUCGUGACAAGCGCGCGGGGAUCGGCGACCGCCAAUAAAUUUCAAGAAUGUUGCGUGUCGAUCUGCGUGAACGGGCGGAAGGUCGAUUUCCGCGAUGCGGUUAAAACGCUGAAAAUCGGUGUCGUUUCCGCAUUUAGCAUCGAGCUAAUUCUCCACGCUUAUUAGCUUACGCACGCGUUGCUCUCUUUGGAGACGUUUAGCGCAACGUGUAAAGAGGUAUAACCUUUCUUUUUAAUCCCUUCAACAAUUCUGAGGUCAUUGACUGGCGCGCGAAAUUAAAUAUUCCCUCCUCGCUUCAUAAACAUCCUAAUUUUCCAACCACCGGCAUGCGGCGACCGGGGAGGAUAAUCGUGGGAAGUGAUCCGUCGCAGACGCGCCGCCGGCAUUAUAUCCGACUGCGACAAAACACACCAUUCAUGGGACCCCCACAAAACCUCGUUUCCACGCGGUCUAGACCACCCUUAGACUCGGCGAAUCGUCCGUCAGGAAACUGAUCAAAGUCAACUUGGGAUUCGUUUCCGAGACCGAAAGAUCGUCUUUCAGCAGCGUAUAUUACACACAGAUUAUUUUAAGCGAAAGUUAAACUGGGAACUUGGUCCGGAAUUCAGAGUUAAAGAAUAAAAUAUGCCGUCGCUUAACUUUAGAACCAUAGAAGGAAAUAUCGUCUUCAAUUUUUAGAAGCAACCCACAAAUGAAGACAGACUCGACGACUUUGGAGCCGGCACUUCUCAUCCCUGCGCGUUCGAGCCUAUAAUUUAUUAACGUCUGCAGCAUUAUGCGAAGGACGACGGAGAGAGAGAGGUAGAAGGGGGAGAGGGGGGAGAGGGGGGAAUGAACAAGGAUAGGCGGACAUGAGAAAGGGAUUAGCGCUUAAAGGGGACGCGGGAGCGGAUCGUAAAGGAGUGAGACAGAGAAGAGGGGCGGAAGAGGGAGAGGAAGGGGAUUUGUUCGCCGGCAGCUAAGAAUCGCGCGGGAUUACGAUUUACGAAAGGUGACUGCGAAAUGUCAUCAUAUCGCGUUUCCCGCGAUACGACGCACGCGCUCUCCGUGGUUUCGCGCGCGUCUCGCCUCCGGCGGCAACACGCCCCACGUCGUCGGCGCCACGCGCAUACUGCGUCGGGUGCGUUAUUAUGCGCGCAACGAUUGAAAAUGCCAAAGUUUAAGUCGAUGGAGGCGAUACACGUGAAUGGAGAGAUGAAUAAAGAGCUCUGAUCCGCGGAAACGGCUCUCGUCUGGAACGAGCAGCUUGAGUAAUGCUUUAUCGCGCGCCUUCCCCCUACGGCGUGAUAGUUUACGAUACACGCUUAUCUCGUAUCCGUAGAAUUCUUUAUCCAGAUACGCUACAUAUGUGAUAAAAUGCACGCUCAUAACGGGCAGCAUAAUGCAGUCUAUACAAUCUGACAAUUUCAGUGAACAAAGCACAUUUUUGGGUAUGAUUAAUGUUUCUAAAUUUUAGAAAAAAAAUUAGGUUUUUUUUUUCUUCCCAAAAAGAAAAAGACUGCGAUAAUAAAAUACAAGUGUCCCAAUUUUCUGGAAAAAAAAUUGAGAGGAAACCCUUUUUUUUUUCGAAAGAUAUGAUCCGUAAUGACAGCGGACUUUAUUGAUGAAUUUCUUAUUUUAGAGUUCUUAAAUGUGAAAGAAAUCUUGAAAUUACAGAGAGAACAAUAACAAAAACAUCUUAAAAGAAAAAAAAAUACGCAAGGGAAUCGUUCUUCUUUUUUUUUUAAUUUCUGAAUAUUUUUCCGGACUGAGAACACCAUGUGUAAGAAUUGCAAAGUUAUAUUGUGUUACAAAGUAAAAAAUAAAUUAAAAAUGCCCGACGAUGUAUAUGGUAGGUGAGAAACGAGCGAGCGGGUGUGGGCGACUGGUGGCCAAUUUACAGGCUAAUUUGUGGCGUUUUAUCGCCAUCCGCGAGAGGCGCAGGCGGUGCAGUUGCUGAAUCACAGCGGGGUUGUUGCGGGCGUGUAAAACGUCGUCGCACUUCACGGAGUUCGCCGUUCGCCUUCAUAAAUGUCGGCGCAGCGCCGAGGAAUCUAUUAGGGAUGCGCGCGGAUGCACCGUGGAAUUUAAAUCCUUAAACACGCGCGAUUCACUCGCUAUCUUCCGCAGCCAAGGCAGCGUUCGGGGGGAAUUGAUAGCGUCCUCCUUUAUUUCGCAGAGUGUCUAACGGGAUUUCGCGUGAUUCCUACGCGCGAUUCCACGCGAUAAAUAAUCGACUACUCUGCGAGUACUAAAUAGCCUAAGAGCGCGCGUUUUCAUUUUGUCGUCAAAGUAACACAGACGUCGAUUAUCAAUGUUAACGACCGUCCAGCCGAUGGUACUUUAUUUACGAGCCUGUAACUAGCUUUGCGAUUACCCGCGAUAUUACUAUCCGCAUAAUCAACAAAAUUUGUUUUUUUUCCCUUUUAAGAUGAAUUUAGAAAUUCCGUUAUGCCGGAUACAAAUAAAAUCUCCGUUUCUGAAAUUGCAGCCCCGUUUUGCUUGAAACUUGAAACUGGAAGUCCGAAACUCGAAACCAAGUUUCACUGAAAAUGGAAUACGGAAUUAUAGAGCGUUGAAAUAACAUUUUCAGAUUACGUAUCGAGAAAAAGAAUUGUUGAAAAAAUAAAAUAAAAUACAAGAGAAUAUAUUUAGAUCGAUGUGGUAAGGAGAGCUUGAUUUCCCCUCAAGCUUCCGCGGGAGGGAUACGAUCGCGCGCUCCUGUACUCAUCUGCAUACGCGGGGCUCCUCGUGACAGCGCGUAGACACGACGUGAUGCACCGUUACGUCACAGUGCCUUUAGAAUACGCUCACGUAUGUAAACUUACGUACGCGCUUUCAUAGGGAACAACCGUGGAGUGCGAUAUCCGUAGGGCAAGCGACUUCUUAAUAUUCCGUCCCUUGCAGUACACGCCGCUCAAUGGAAUAAUAAGGAGCCGACUGUGGAGCUCGGCUGGAAACCACCUCUCUCUCUCUCUCUCUCUCUCAGCGUAUGUACCGUCUCUGCGCGAACAAUGAAGUCGGGUUCAACGAAAAAGAGGCGCAAAGCUGGGAAAACGCAUGAGCGACGUGCGCCGUGGCGCGGGGAACCUCCGCUCUCCGUUCACGCGAGUCAAAUCUUUCGAAACGUCCGCUUCCGCCGAUCGUGUCGCCGCAUAGCAACGGGCAUGAUGAGGCGGGUGAAUAGAAUUAAAGGCCGAACCGGAUUAAAUGAAAGAAAAAAAAAAA